GAUGAGAACGCAGCAAAAUGCGAUAAGUAAUGUGAAUUGCAGAAUUCAGUGAAUCAUCGAAUCUUUGAACGCACAUUGCGCCCGCCAGUAUUCUGGCGGGCAUGCCUGUUCGAGCGUCAUUUCAACCCUCAAGCUCAGCUUGGUGUUGGGACUCGCGGUAACCCGCGUUCCCCAAAUCGAUUGGCGGUCACGUCGAGCUUCCAUAGCGUAGUAAUCAUACACCUCGUUACUGGUAAUCGUCGCGGCCACGCCGUAAAACCCCAACUUCUGAAUGUUGACCUCGGAUCAGGUAGGAAUACCCGCUGAACUUAAGCAUAUCAAUAAGCGGAGGA
rnacentral:misc_RNA from 1 species